UACGUAGGGACCAAGCGUUGUCCGGAAUCAUUGGGCGUAAAGAGCGUGUAGGCGGCUUGUUAAGUCUUGCGUGAAAUCUCGGGGCUCAACCCCGAGCGGUCGUGAGAAACUGGCAGGCUAGAGUGCGGGAGAGGAGACUGGAAUUCCUGGUGUAGCAGUGAAAUGCGUAGAUAUCAGGAGGAAUACCGAUGGCGAAGGCAGGUCUCUGGGCUGACACUGACGCUCAUGCACGAAAGCGUGGGGAGCAAACAGG
rnacentral:rRNA from 1 species